rnacentral:rRNA from 1 species
GACAAACGCUGGCGGCGUGCAUAAAACAUGCAAGUCGGACGAGCCAAUCCCCGCAAGGGGAAAGGCUAGUGGCGAACGGCUGAGUAACACGUAGGUGAUCUGCCCUGAAGUGGGGGAUAACGACUCGAAAGAGUCGCUAAUACCGCACGUGACCACCGAUCCGUUUUCGGUGCUCAAAGUCGUAAGACGCUUUAGGAGGAGCCUGCGGCGGAUUAGCUAGUUGGUGAGGUAAUGGCCCACCAAGGCUUCGAUCCGUAGCUGGUCUGAGAGGAUGGCCAGCCAGACUGGGACUGAGACACGGCCCAGACUCCUACGGGAGGGCAGCAGUUAGGAAUUUUGCGCAAUGGGGGAAACCCUGACGCAGCCACGCCGCGUGCGGGAUGAAGGCCUUGGUCGUAACCGCCUUCUCGAGGAAGACACCCGACGGUACUCGAGGC